CUUCUAAAUGUGCAAAACUGACCAUACUAAACCAGAAAUGAGCUGCUUCAUAUAUUUCUAUUCAACAUAAAGCCUUGGGAGUUAGAGGAAGGUUGAUACUGAUAUUUUUACCUGAUGAGGGUUACUGAGGGUACCUGGGAAGGACCGACUGCAGCUCCUGAGCUAUAAAUCAGACUUUUACCAUGACUUUUUGUCUUAAGAGUGGCACAGAUGAAGAACAGUAAAAAUCUAUUUAGAGUCCUUAAGUUGCCAGAAUGGAAUCUGUAUGCAUUGAGUAAACAUGAGUAGUUAAAAGAUGCCAGUAAGAAUGUAAUCUCUUUCAAGAUGAGAGGCACGCUUUGUGUCUUGUGCAUCUUUUCCCAAACUAAUUUGGAGAGCCCAAAUAUCUAUUUCAUAUGUAGAAGAUAACCAUAACUAUUUGUUAUUUUCAGGAAAGGGUUGCUGGAAUAACAGAUGUGCCAGAUCUUAAAACCAGAAGUUUUGUCUUUCACCUUCAUCAUGUUUAGUAAGGAUAUGAGACUUGGUGGUUUUGAGACUCCUCCUGAAUCCCACGAAGAUAUUUUAGUAAAGGAUGAUCCAUCUGGGAUAUUGACUUAG
rnacentral:lncRNA from 1 species